AGCUAAAACAUUUAGAGGAUUUUAGUCAUUUAUCUGAAAAAAAUUUUAAAGAUGCAUGAGAAAAUGUUUUCAUGCCAAAACCUCUUGCUGAGCAGCAUCUCUUAUGUCACCCUUCUGCUUUCCUGCUGUUCUGUGUGACAUUUUGUUAUAGCAGGCAGAUUCCUUGAUCAUACAAUUCUACACUGAUCAAGCCUAGUAACAGGUAAAAAGCUAAAAACUGCCUUUUUACAGGUAAUAGAUAUAUGAAACUGGCUUUUUU
rnacentral:lncRNA from 1 species